AUUCUUUGAAAAGGUAUGCUGGUUCAUUCACUCUUAGAUUGCACAGUUCUUUCAUAAACCACUGAUGUCCAAUUUUACUCGGAUUUUGGGACUUGAGGAAUGUUACUGAUGAGGUACACAUGGCCAUGUCUGGGUUGUGAAAUGCCCUUCUACAUUUACAUGUAUAUAUAUAUGAUAAUAGCAUCUGUCGACUAAUAGAUCUUUUUCUUGGACAUGUAGCAGCCAGUAGAUAUUACUACCUGUAUUGCAUACAUGUUCCACAGAUAAAUAAUUAGUAUGCAGC
rnacentral:lncRNA from 1 species